rnacentral:misc_RNA from 1 species
UCCGGCUUGCCGCCGGCAGUCCCUCCAGAGUGCCCAACUAAAUGAUGGCAACUGAAGGCAAGGGUUGCGCUCGUUGCGGGACUUAACCCAACAUCUCACGACACGAGCUGACGACAGCCAUGCAGCACCCCACCGUUUCCGGCGGGUUCCAGGGAUGUCAAGCCUCGGUAAGGUUCUUCGUGUACCAUCGAAUUAAACCACAUGAUCCACUGCUUGUGCGGCCCCCCGUCAAUUCCUUUGAGUUUUAAGCUUGCGCUCGUACUCCCCAGGCGGGAUGCUUAACGCGUUAGCUUCUCAGCCCAGAGGGUCGAUACUCCAAACUGAUAGCAUCCAUCGUUUACGGCGUGGACUAC